AACCUAACAAAAAAAAAAAUCUUUCUUCACCCCGGAAAGAGCAAAAUAAUGUCUGCCAUCAAAUUUCGGCUUGCGUUUCUUCUCUUAGCUUUUUGUCUUCUUUCUUCUCAAUGCCUUGCUAAACUACCAUAUGGGAAAUGUAACUACAAAGGUCAUUGCAACACUGAUAAUGACUGCAAAACCAUAUGCACAGCUCCAGGGGAAGAUCCUACUUUUCUAAUGUGCAUUAAAAACCCUCCUUGGUACAAAUGUUGUUGUGCAGUUUGAAUUUUAACUUUGUUUUGAUCUAAAUCGAUGGAUCUAUAUAUUUUGUAUCAUCACCCAUCAUAAGAUUUCACAUUAAUAAAAUAAAGUAAAUAGGCAUGGAAGUA